rnacentral:rRNA from 1 species
GACGGGGGAUGCGAGCGUUAUCCGGAAUGAUUGGGCGUAAAGGGUCCGCAGGUGGCCCGGUCAGUCCGCUGUCAAAGCCUGGGGCUCAACCCUGGAGAGGCGGCGGAGACCACCGGGCUUGAGUCCGGUAGGGGCAGAGGGAAUUCCCGGUGGAGCGGUGAAAUGCGUAGAGAUCGGGAAGAACAUCGGUGGCGAAGGCGGCUAGCUGGGCUCUUGCUGACGCUGAUGCGCGACAGCGUGGGGAGCAAACAGG